CUACCCGGGUAUCUAAUCCCGUUUGCUCCCCUGGCCUUCGCGCCUCAGCGUCAGGAACUGUCCAGAGAUCCGCCUUCGCCACUGGUCUUCCUCACGAUAUCUACGCAUUUCACUGCUACACCGUGAAUUCCAAUCUCCUCUCCAGUCCUCUAGCAGAGCAGUAUCGAGUGCAGUUUCAGAGUUGAGCUCUGAGAUUUCACACCCGACUUACCCCGCAGCCUACGCGCCCUUUACGCCCAAUGAAUCCGAACAACGCUUGAGACCUCUGUAUUACCGCGGCUGCUGGCAC
rnacentral:rRNA from 1 species